ensembl:snRNA U6 U6 spliceosomal RNA
GUGCUCGCUUCAGCAGCACAAACACUAAAAUUAGAACAAUACAGAGAAGAUUAGUGUGGCCCCUGCUCAAGGAUGACAUGCAAAUGUUCCAUAAAGAAUGAACCUAA